rnacentral:rRNA from 1 species
AGUACUAUAACUCAUAACCCUUUGUGAACCUUUAUACCUGUUGCUUCGGCGGCGCGCCUCCCGGGGCGUGCCCGCCGGCAUUAUCAGAAUCUCUGUUCGAACCCGACGAUACAUCUGAGUGUUCUAAGCGAACUGUUAAAACUUUCAACAACGGAUCUCUUGGCUCCAGCAUCGAUGAAGAACGCAGCGAAACGCGAUAUGUAAUGUGAAUUGCAGAAUUCAGUGAAUCAUCGAAUCUUUGAACGCACAUGGCGCCUUCCAGUAUCCUGGGAGGCAUGCCUGUCCGAGCGUCGUUUCAACCCUCGAGCCCCCGUGGCCCGGCGUUGGGGAUCUGCCCAGGCAGUCCCCGAAAACCAGUGGCGGACCCGUUGGGCCCUUCCUUUGCGUAGUAACAUCUGCCUCGCAUCGGGAGCCUGCGGGCUAUCCGGCCUCUAAACCCCCCUCAAGCCCGCUCCGGCGGCACCAAGGUUGACCUCGGAUCAGGUAGGAAUACCCGCUGAACUUAAGCAUAUCAAUAAGCGGAGGAAAAGAAACCAACA